rnacentral:rRNA from 1 species
UACGAAGGGGGCUAGCGUCGCUCGGAAUCACUGGGCGUAAAGGGUGCGUAGGCGGGUCUUUAAGUCAGGGGUGAAAUCCUGGAGCUCAACUCCAGAACUGCCUUUGAUACUGAAGAUCUUGAGUUCGGGAGAGGUGAGUGGAACUGCGAGUGUAGAGGUGAAAUUCGUAGAUAUUCGCAAGAACACCAGUGGCGAAGGCGGCUCACUGGCCCGAUACUGACGCUGAGGCACGAAAGCGUGGGGAGCAAACAGGG